rnacentral:tRNA from 1 species
AGUCGGAAAGCUUUAUGAUAAGCAAAUACCUUGAAAGUAAGAGAAAGGAGUUUAAAUCCCCUACCGACUU